GACGAACGCUGGCGGCGUGCUUAACACAUGCAAGUCGAACGGAAAGGCCCUGCUUUUGUGGGGUGCUCGAGUGGCGAACGGGUGAGUAACACGUGAGUAACCUGCCCUUGACUUUGGGAUAACUUCAGGAAACUGGGGCUAAUACCGGAUAGGAGCUCCUGCUGCAUGGUGGGGGUUGGAAAGUUUCGGCGGUUGGGGAUGGACUCGCGGCUUAUCAGCUUGUUGGUGGGGUAGUGGCUUACCAAGGCUUUGACGGGUAGCCGGCCUGAGAGGGUGACCGGCCACAUUGGGACUGAGGUACGGCCCAGACUCCUACGGGAGGCAGCAGUGGGGAAUAUUGCACAAUGGGCGGAAGCCUGAUGCAGCAACGCCGCGUGCGGGAUGACGGCCUUCGGGUUGUAAACCGCUUUCGCCUGUGACGAAGCGCGAGUGACGGUAAUGGGUAAAGAAGCACCGGCUAACUACGUG
rnacentral:rRNA from 1 species